UGUGGAAGAAGCCAUAUACCCUGGAGUCAGAUGUCAAUCAUCCUGGGAAGACUAAUUCAAGAACACAUGCUUCUAAGAAAACUGUUUUCAGCAUUGUCAUCUACCACGUGGAUGUCUCUGCAGUCUUUCUACAAACACCAACACUGAAGCCCCGACACUGGGAGUCCCUGGAGGACUCCAGAGAAGAAUGGCCAAAGGAACUUACUUUUACAGAAGCCUGUGGUCCUACAAGAAUGAUC